UACGGAGGAUUCAAGCGUUAUCCGGAUUUAUUGGGUUUAAAGGGUGCGUAGGUUGGACUUUAAGUUAGUCGUUAAAUCGUGGGGCUUAACCUCACAAUGGCGAUUAAUACUGGAGACCUGGAGAACAGUUGCGGUAGGCGGAAUGAGUAGUGUAGCGGUGAAAUGCUUAGAUAUUACUCAGAACACCGAUUGCGAAGGCAGCUUACCAAGCUGUUUCUGACACUGAGGCACGAAAGCGUGGGGAUCAAACAGG
rnacentral:rRNA from 1 species